AAUUAUAAUUUAAAUAAAUAAAGAAUAUAAUUGUAAUAAAAUAUAGCAAAUAGAAAUUUUAAUAAAAAAAAAAUUGUGAUAAAUAAAUAACGGAGUUAGAAUAGAAAAGGGGCGAAUCACAGUAGAGACGGCACUGUGCGGUGUGAGAGUGGGAGAAGUCUUCUGCGCGCAUGUUCGGCGCAUUGCCCCAGUCGUAUUCCCUUCGUCGUUGCGCGAGGACGUCCCGGGACGUCGAAUAUUAAUUUCUACCACGUGGGUAAUUAUUAGAGUAAUAUAUUAAUUUUCACAUUUGUGAGCUUGUUGCGCGUACUUUGUAAUCAUUUGCAAUUGAAAUCAAUUAUUUUUUCACAAGUAAAUUAUUACUGAUUAUUCUUAAUUGCUAUCGUGUUUAAUUAUAGUAAAUAGAAAUUUGAUUAAAAAAAAUUGUGAUAAAUAACUAACGGAGUUAGAAUAGAAAAAAGUCGAGUCAGUGCGUAGGGGCGAAUCACGGUAGAGACGGCACUGCGCGGCGUGAGAGUGGGCAUGGUGGGGGAAGGCUCCUGCGCGCACGUUCGGCGCGUCGCCUCAGUCGUAUUCCCUUCGUCGUUGCGCGAGGACGUCCCGGAACGUCGAAUAUUAAUUUCUACCACGUGGGUAAUUAUUAGAGUAAUAUAUUAAUAUUCACAUUUUUGAGCUUGUUGCGUGUACUUUGUAAUCAUUUGCAAUCAAAAUCAAUUAUUUUCUCACGAGUAAAUUAUUAUUAAUUAUUCUUCAUUGCUAUCGUGUUUAAUAGUUGUAGAAGUACUUUUUCGGGAGUGUUCGAUUAUUUAUUUUUUUUCGGGAGUGUCGAAAUACUUUAAAUUCAGUUUAGUGUUUUUUUUUAAUCUUAUUCGAAGAGAGAAGAUUUAUUAGAAGAAAGAAGAUCGGAUACAUUUUUCCAGCACCGGAUCAACUCCAAUUUCAUCAAAUCGGCAAAAAGGACAGAGAUGUUGAAGAAGACAGUGAGGGAGAGAUUUGGAAGAGGAAGGAAAAAAAAAAUUUUUUUUCCCUAACUGCACAGUGUGUUCAAUAUAACAAAGUUUUGAGAGAAAUCGCAGGCAACCAGACGAGCAGGCAAGCCAGUAAAGUCAACUACCUGUGGAUACCACUUCAGGCAACCCGUAAUACUCUUCUGCGAUCGUGUAACCAACCGCUUGUCCCGCAGGAGUCACAGAAAUGGUAUGUAAUUAUUUCUUUCAUAAUUAUAUACACUGACACAGAUAUAGAAAUGUGUGAGAGAGAGAGAGAGA